AUUGAACGCUGGCGGCAUGCUUUACACAUGCAAGUCGAACGGCAGCGCGGGCUUCGGCCUGGCGGCGCGUGGCGAACGGGUGAGUAAUGCAUCGGAAUGUGCCCAGUAGUGGGGGAUAGUCAGGCGAAAGCCGGAUUAAUACUGCAUACGACCUGCGGGUGCAAGCGGGGGACCGAAAGGCCUCGCGCUCUUGGAGCGGUCGAGGUCGGAUUAGCUAGUUGGUGGGGUAAAGGCUUACCAAGGCGACUAUCCGUAGCUGGACUGUGAGAACGACCGGCCACACUGGGACUGGAACGCGGCCCAGACUCCUACGGGAGGCAGCAGUGGGGAAUUUGAGACAAUAGGGGCAACCCUUAUCCAGCCAGGCCGCGUGCGAGAAGGAGGCCUUCGGGUUGUAAACCGCGUUUUUUCGGGAAGAAAUCCUCUGGGCUAAUACCCCGGGUGAGUGACGGUACCGGAAAAAGAAGCACCGGCUAACUACGUG
rnacentral:rRNA from 1 species